UUCUGACUUUGUCAGAUAGUAGGCUAGGAGAGGCGCGGUGAGGUUCAGUGAGUUUGUUUGUAAACAUCGGAAAAUUUGUUCGAGCUGAGGGCUUUGUUGGUAAACAAACUCCACGAACUCCAUAGUAGCCAAAUCAAAAUGGCUGAAUCGGGAGUCAUAUCGUUAAGCCUAGUCAGGGAUGCCAGCAGCAGGAACCAUGGUAUGCACAUUCAUUUUCAAAUGAAUUCGAAGGUGAUCAUGUACUUCAUGGGUUUUGACAGCUGCGGCAAUUUUGUUUUCCUCGAAAAAUUUCGGUCGGCACAUUUUUCGACGGUUUUUUGGCACAAAGAUAUUUAACCAUCAAGUGUUGAUAUGAUCAAACCGCGACAUAAUCCCUUCCCACAAGCCUGUGAGCAAAUGGAAAGGAAUCACUUGGCCGGAGUCCCCGUAAUGCGUAAUGCAUUUCAGCUGGUGGUCGACGGAGUAGAUAGCAGCAUUCUGUAUGUAAUAUAUAAAUGUGUUGGAAUUUAAAAUGUGAAUGAAUGAAUUAUAAUGAAAUAAAUAUUAU